GGUGAAGAACUGGUAAUCUGCAUCCUGAGGUUUAAAAAUUUAUAGGCAAUUAAAACAUGCAAAUGUGUGUAUGGUUUUUUAAUCCUCGGGAUACGGAUUACCUCUUCCUUACU
rnacentral:pre_miRNA from 1 species